GGCUACGAUCAGUAGGGGUUCUGAGGGGAAGGUCCCCCACAUUGGAACUGAGACACGGUCCAAACUCCUACGGGAGGCAGCAGUGAGGAAUAUUGGUCAAUGGACGAGAGUCUGAACCAGCCAAGUAGCGUGCAGGAAGACGGCCCUAUGGGUUGUAAACUGCUUUUAUAAGGGAAUAAAGUGAGAGUCGUGACUCUUUUUGCAUGUACCUUAUGAAUAAGGACCGGCUAAUUCCGUGCCAGCAGCCGCGGUAAUACGGAAGGUCCGGGCGUUAUCCGGAUUUAUUGGGUUUAAAGGGAGCGUAGGCCGGAGAUUAAGCGUGUUGUGAAAUGUAGACGCUCAACGUCUGCACUGCAGCGCGAACUGGUUUCCUUGAGUACGCACAAAGUGGGCGGAAUUCGUGGUGUAGCGGUGAAAUGCUUAGAUAUCACGAAGAACUCCGAUUGCGAAGGCAGCUCACUGGAGCGCAACUGACGCUGAAGCUCGAAAGUGCGGGUAUCGAACAGGAUUAGAUACCCUGGUAGUCCGCACGGUAAACGAUGGAUGCCCGCUGUUGGUCUGAAUAGGUCAGCGGCCAAGCGAAAGCAUUAAGCAUCCCACCUGGGGAGUACGCCGGCAACGGUGAGACUCAAAGGAAUUGACGGGGGCCCGCACAAGCGGAGGAACAUGUGGAUUAAUUCGAUGAUACGCGAGGAACCUUACCCGGGCUUGAAUUGCAGAGGAAGGAUUUGGAGACAAUGACGCCCUUCGGGGCCUCUGUGAAGGUGCUGCAUGGUUGUCGUCAGCUUGUGCCGUGAGGUGUCGGCUUAAGUGCCAUAACGAGCGCAACCCCUCUCCUUAGUUGCCAUCAGGUUAAGCUGGGCACUCUGGGGACACUGCCACCGUAAGGUGUGAGGAGGGUGGGGAUGACGUCAAAUCAGCACGGCCCUUACGUCCGGGGCUACACACGUGUUACAAUGGCAGGUACAGAGAGACGGUUGUACGUAAGUACGAUCAAAUCCUUAAAGCCUGUCUCAGUUCGGACUGGGGUCUGCAACCCGACCCCACGAAGCUGGAUUCGCUAGUAAUCGCGCAUCAGCCAUGGCGCGGUGAAUACGUUCCCGGGCCUUGUACACACCGCCCGUCAAGCCAUGAAAGCCGGGGGCGCCUAAAGUCCGUGACCGUAAGGAGCGGCCUAGGGCGAAACUGGUAAUUGGGGCUAAGUCGUAACAAGGUA
rnacentral:rRNA from 1 species